GCUGUAAGGAGGGUCAGUGAGGGGCUGUAACCAGGGUUCAAGUCAGCACUGGGGCCUCAGAGGUUUGGGAGAAUGGGAGGCACCCCUAAGCCCCGAGGUACCCCCCAGGACUACAGAGCAGCCAGGAAUGCCCUCUCCCCGGCGUGAGACUGACAUUCACGUAGCCCCCAAGAGCGUCAGGGCCCCGUGAUUCACAGAGGCAGACUCGACCGCCCUGACUUUUCUCUGGCGUGCUCAAAUCAGAAGGCCGAGGCCUCGGAAGGCUGGCAUUUUCGUUUCCCAAGCAGAACAUGUGGCCCGACCAGGGCCCGCAGCCCGCGCGCCAGGCUGCCGGCCCACUACUCACUCUUCAGGUGCUCUCCGGCCCCAGACAGGAGGUAGUAGAAGAUGUGGAAGGUCCGUUCCUCCUUGGCUUGGCGGAUAGCACGAGAUUUCUCCAAAAGAUCUUGGCAAACGCUAAGGAACUGCGCAAGCAAGCAGGACGGAAGGCCACUCCCACCCGCCCCGCCCCCAUCAAGAGUGACUGAACUUUGCCAGGCAGAAAAUGGCAAAAUCGAACAAAAGCAAACCAAAUCGGCUCCUUCCGGGGGCACAGCCUGUCCAAAAGCAGCUCUCGCACUUGGGAGCCCUGUCUGGGUAAUGAGCCCCCUCUCACCAGGGGCUGGAGCACAGAAUGUUCCCACCAGCAAGGCUACGAUGCCUGUGCCAGGGAGAAAUGAAGGAGCAUCCACUCGAACCCUGCCCCUCUGGGAACCACACUGGAGGGUCUUCUGUCGUCCCAUCCCUUUCGAAGCAGAACUCUGUCCUGCCAGUAAAGAAAAACCUGAGCUCGGGGUUGGGUGUUCCAUGAGCUUCUCCGGGUACUCUUCCUGAAGCCACAGACGCGGGACUCCAGGCCCAGGACUCCUCUCCAUCAAGGUCCCGUCCCUCCAGACAAGGUCUCGUUUCCAGACCAAGGAUACAAGUCUCAAUGUUGGCUCCCACGAUGUAGCCAUUGACAUCAAAGUUAAUGCGAAUGAAUUUGCCCUAAGGAGAGACAGAUAAAGAGAAUCAGAAGCCCGGUCCUCCAGUUUCUAGCUCCUGCGGUAUAGCCCGAAGAGGGAAAAUCAAGAGACCGUGCCCAUGUCGGAGGCCAGGGGCCCGUGCAGUGCACUGCAUGGGUACUCAGGACUCAGCGCUGUGCUGCUUAAAGCCUGGGCCAGGACAAGAUCCAGAGAUGCCCAAGUUCAUCCGCUGAGGCGCAGGAGUGCUCCUCGGUCCUCCAUCUGGCUGUUGGCUACAACAGGACAAGGAGUGGGACCGGCAGGUAACUCCCCACUGUCCCUCCUUUCCCCCCAGUUCUCUGCCACCUGGGCUGAAGCAGCCACGUGUGCAGGUCCCCACCAGCUGGAGCUCACCCCAGCCUACUCCCCGCCACAGGCCGGGAGGCAACCAGGUCCGAAGCUGCCUCACUUUCUGAGGUGAGAGCGGCAGCUGGAGGGCGACGUGUGCCAAAGCCGUGGGUGGGAGCCUGAGCCCCGCGAGCUGGGCAUGGCCGGCCACUACUCACAAAUCGGGAGGAGUUGUCGUUCUUCACAGUCUUGGCGUUCCCGAAGGCCUCCAGGAUGGGGUUGGCCUGCAGCAGCUGUCGCUCCAACUCGCCCUGGAAAGGAACCCGGGGAUGCGGUGAAGGCCAGGCAGUGGCUCGGGUCGUCGAACCUGCUCUGCCAGGCAGGGGGGCCGGUGGCAGAGCUGUGCCUACACGCCCAGCGUGCCAGGAACAGAGGGCGUUCCGGCCACGCCAGCCGCAGCCUGGCCCCUGUGUCACUCGGGAGCGACCUUCCCGCCGGGUGUUGAACUUACGUCGCCGGACUGACCGAUCGGCACCCCCAGGAAGGGAAGGACAAGGCGAGAAGGAAUCAGCUCCAUAAAAGACACCAGCUCACUUCAUCCGUGUCCUGAUAGACACGGCACUUUCCCUGCUGUGGACCCUGUCCCGCCACCUACCCACCCCCACAGACGUGCUUCCAGAGUGUCCAGCGCGUGAGCCGGGGAUCAGUGAGGCCCACCACGGGUUCCAAACUGUUUAUCGACAACACCAAUAAACUCUACUUGUGGUCCCAAGCCACACAUGUGGCUGACACACCCUAAGCCUCCCUAUCCCCGGAUCCUCAGGAUAGGCAAAACAGGGUGGCCCCGAGGUCAUCCGGCAAAGCAGCCGCCAACUCGCGUCUUCUCCGACAGGUGUCAGUCACUGCCCUGUCCCCCAGCCCUGCGUGGGGCUCUACCCCGCCGGCCUAGAUCACUUUUGGAAGCGGCCAUCACCUUCCCAGCAGGCCAGGCGGUAACGGACUCGGGCUGCGGAAAAUUCGGCCCUUAAUACCUGGGAUCGCUCUAGGGGGAAAGAACAUCACACAGGGGCCAGGCCGGCUUUUGUAUUUAUUAGCAAGGCUGGACUCCGGCCAGGAUUUUACGGGAACGGCUGCCUGUGAAUGAUGAAGAGGAAAACUGGAAGUAGCAGGAGCUCCCGGGAGAGUCGUGAGGUUCAGCCUUCCAGGCGCACCUGCUGCUGACGAGGCCCGUCUGCAGAGCACUGAGCCAGGGGCUGGAAGGGGCCGGGGCAGACUCUCCUGCUCCAGCAGCCCAUCCUCGGCCAGGGAUCCCGCCCCCCCGCCGCACCCCGGGACGCCAGGGAGUCUUCUGUUUUCACACCGCACGGAUUAAGUGAAGGAGGUUCAGUGGAGCCACGCUGAGGAGCAGGGAUCAAAUCCACUGCACAGGCUGAACAUGUGUGCUGGGCACCAGCCGUCACAGGACACCGGGCCCCUGCCCACAGGGCUCGCGCGAGCCUGCGAAGUCAGCGGAGGCAGACCACGGAGUCCAAUUUGGAGGAGCGCCGCCCCCCCACCCACUAAGACGCUCCUCUCAGAGCACAGGCCGGGCCACUAGGCUGGCUGGGCCACUCCCGCUCCUGUUUCCGCAGACCGAUGGGACCACGGUCCCCACCAGAGCCUGCCGCCUGCCCUGGCUUGGGAGCCUCGCUAAGGUCUCUGUCGUGGGACCACACGCUGCUGCCGUGGCAACAUGGGACCACUCGGCCAACUAGGGGGCAGCCACUUCAGAUUCCGGAGCCGAACUCCGUGCAGACAAUGGUGGUGGCUAACCUAUGGGUUUUUCCUUAUUGACCCAUACCCGGGCACGGAAGGGACCUUUAUUUCUCAAUAAAAUCUGCACGUGAC